rnacentral:rRNA from 1 species
CCUACGGGUGGCAGCAGUGAGGAAUAUUGGUCAAUGGACGUAAGUCUGAACCAGCCAUGCCGCGUGCAGGAAGACGGCUCUAUGAGUUGUAAACUGCUUUUGUACAAGGGUAAACCUGAAUACGUGUAUUCAGCUGAAAGUACUGUACGAAUAAGGAUCGGCUAACUCCGUGCCAGCAGCCGCGGUAAUACGGAGGAUCCGAGCGUUAUCCGGAUUUAUUGGGUUUAAAGGGUGCGUAGGCGGAUUUAUAAGUUAGCGGUGAAAGGUCGGGGCUUAACUCGAAAAUUGCCGUUAAUACUGGUGGACUAGAGAGUGUUUGAGGUAGGCGGAAUGCGUGGUGUAGCGGUGAAAUGCAUAGAGAUCACACAGAACUCCGAUUGCGAAGGCAGCUUACUAAUCUAUAACUGACGCUGAGGCACGAAAGCGUGGGGAUCAAACAGGAUUAGAUACCCUAGUAGUC